rnacentral:rRNA from 1 species
UACGAAGGGGGCUAGCGUUGCUCGGAAUCACUGGGCGUAAAGGGUGCGUAGGCGGGUCUUUAAGUCAGGGGUGAAAUCCUGGAGCUCAACUCCAGAACUGCCUUUGAUACUGAGGAUCUUGAGUUCGGGAGAGGUGAGUGGAACUGCGAGUGUAGAGGUGAAAUUCGUAGAUAUUCGCAAGAACACCAGUGGCGAAGGCGGCUCACUGGCCCGAUACUGACGCUGAGACCCGAAAGCGUGGGGAUCAAACAGG